AAUUAAUCAAUAAAUUUGAAAAACGAAUCUCAUUAAAAGAAAAGAAUUUGAAAAACGAAUCUUUGUUUAUGAUAGUGAACAGUGAGAAUAUUUAACUACUCUAAAUUAAAUUUAUUUGUACAAAAAUUAGUAAAACCAUGAAAGUCAAAAGAUUAUUACAUAAUUGAUAAAUUGUUUUUGGACUUAUCUUGACCCUUUGAGUCUUUUCAGCAGUUACAAAAAGAGUUUUGUUAGCAAUAGAUUUCUUGCAUUUUAAUUAAUGUGAGUAAAAGUUUUGGGAUUUUUUUUGCUCAUAAGCUAAUUUAAUAUAUUAAUCAUAAAAAUAUAUUUUUUAUCUUUGUAUAUUUUGUCCUCUCGUAAUUCUAGCUUCACUGCCGUUAGGGUUGGGAAUAGGCCAGGCCGGCCUACAGGGGCCUAUGGCCUGGCCUGUUUAAGCCUGGCCUGGCCUGGCCUGUUUAUUAAAAAGGCUAGGCUUAGGCUUUUUAAAAAGCCUAUUUAAGUAAAUAGGCCAGGCUUAGGCUAUAAAAAAAGCCUAUGAAUCCUAAUAGGCCGGCCUGUUUAUGCAUGUUAGGCUUCAUAGUGGACUUUUUAAAUAGGCUUUAAAGCUUUAUAGUGAAAUAUGUUUUUAAGGCCUUAUAGUGAUAGACAAAUCUUACACUGGAAUAGACUUUGAAGCCUAUUAAGCCUAUUUAAAAGUAGAUAAAAUGGAAUGUUUAGUGACUUUAAUAGUAAGUAGGCUUUCAGGUCAGGCCAGGCUUUUAAAUAGGUCAGGCCAGGCCAAAAUAAUAGGCCUAUGAAAGGCCAUAGGCCAGGCUCAGGCCUGCAAAUUUUUUCGUAGGUCAGGCUCAGGCCUAUCAAAGCCUGGCCUGACCUGGCCUAUUCCCAACCCUAACUGCCGUACUCAAAGAUCAAAAUAACUAACUAAAGAGACACUUAAAAAAUAUUUUUAAUUUUCAUAUAAUUUAUCAAAGAUUAUAGUGACACUAAAACUGUUGUUUAUCACAUUUAUAUUAAAUAAACAACAUAUAUGCAGCAAGUUGAUACCAUUUUUUGUAUGAAAUGCAGCAUGUUGUUACCAUUGAAAGGCCUGCAACACGGCCAAUGCAUUUUUAAAAGAGAAAACUCGUAUUUUCUGGUGUAGAUUAGUUUAAGCACAAGUGCUAAGUUUAAUCUCUAAAAACUAAUAUUCUCUUUCCCUCAAAAAAAA
rnacentral:lncRNA from 1 species